CCCAGCGCUAACGCGCUGGGCUCAAUAAUUUUGUCCCUGCGGGACU
rnacentral:sRNA from 1 species